AUUGUGAGACCUCCGGCUACAACACAGGACAUGGGCGCUUUUCUGAACCCUCGUGUCUUGUGUUGCAGCCAGAGGGGCACA
rnacentral:pre_miRNA from 1 species